CUACGGGGGGCAGCAGUGAGGAAUAUUGCACAAUGGGGGGAACCCUGAUGCAGCAACGCCGCGUGGAGGAUGACGCAUUUCGGUGUGUAAACUCCUUUUAUAUGUCAAGAAAAUGACGGUAGCAUAUGAAUAAGCAUCGGCUAACUCCGUGCCAGCAGCCGCGGUAAUACGGAGGGUGCAAGCGUUACUCGGAAUCACUGGGCGUAAAGGACGCGUAGGCGGGUUGGAAAGUCAGGUGUGAAAUCCUACAGCUUAACUGUAGAACUGCACUUGAAACUUCUAAUCUAGAGUAUGGGAGGGGAGAUGGAAUUAGUGGUGUAGGGGUAAAAUCCGUAGAUAUCACUAGGAAUACCUAAAGCGAAGGCGAUCUCCUGGAACAUUACUGACGCUAAGGCGUGAAAGCGUGGGGAGCAAACAGGAUUAGAUACCCUUGUAGUC
rnacentral:rRNA from 1 species